rnacentral:rRNA from 1 species
AGUGAACGCUGGCGGUAGGCCUAACACAUGCAAGUCGAACGGCAGCACAGUAAGAUCUUGCUCUUACGGGUGGCGAGUGGCGGACGGGUGAGGAAUACAUCGGAAUCUACUUUUUCGUGGGGGAUAACGUAGGGAAACUUACGCUAAUACCGCAUACGACCUACGGGUGAAAGCAGGGGAUCUUCGGACCUUGCGCGAUUGAAUUAGCCGAUGUCGGAUUAGCUAGUUGGCGGGGUAAGGGCCCACCAAGGCGACGAUCCGUAGCUGGUCUGAGAGGAUGAUCAGCCACACUGGAACUGAGACACGGUCCAGACUCCUACGGGAGGCAGCAGUGGGGAAUAUUGGACAAUGGGCGCAAGCCUGAUCCAGCCAUACCGCGUGGGUGAAGAAGGCCUUCGGGUUGUAAAGCCCUUUUGUUGGGAAAGAAAAGCAGCAGGUUAAUACCUCGCUGUUCUGACGGUACCCAAAGAAUAAGCAACGGCUAACUUCGUG